GAUACAUGGCUGGGGAAAGCAUCAUGUGCUCGGAAAGGGAACAGCAGACAGUGUGAGUAAAAUAUUGAAAAUAAAGAAAAGGAACAUGAAGAAUUCGUGGAAAGAAAUGAAAACCAGAAUAAAUUAGAGUGAUGAGUAGCAUGAUAUGAAUUGAGCUUCCCUCUAUCGAUAGUGUUGGUACACAACUUGGUGAGCACCUCACAGAAACAACUCCACUGCAGGCUGAGGAAGAAACAAGCAAGGCCGCUGGCACUUCAAGGAUUGCUGGAGACCAGCCAACUGCUCAGCCCAGAAAGGACAGUGCCCAGUCGUAUCGGCAAUCACAAACUUCAUCUACAUGGCCAGGGCAGAGCAGCAGUAGUAGACAGACAUAAGGAAUACGGUGGUCCUCAUUGCCCAGAAACUGCAGCAGUGUCACAAGUCACGUGACCAUCUAUUCAGAUCCAUGGAAAGGUUGGGAGGUCAAGAUCAGUACAGAGAGUUGUCCAGGAGUAACUGUGUCUGGAAGGUGCAACACGCAGACAGAAUCAAUGCUGUAGAAUGGCUAGGGAUUAGGCAGCCUGUGUGCCGGUACAGUGCAUGGGUCCAUGAUUCGUGUUCUUUCCCUUUAAAAAUUCUAUGAUUGGUGGUUGGUGCAGCUCCCUCUCAAGUGUUGAGUCCGACCCACUCCAAUGUGCCCACAGUCAUUUCCUUUCCCAUGGGGCGCUUUCAAUUUCCCAGCAUGAUGAAAGUGACAUUGAGAGCUCUUUUGCCUGUGUCUUCCAGCCUUAGCCUCACUCAAUGUAUUGGUGAAACCCUGAAUAUCCUUUUCAUAGCCCAUGCUGUUAACACGACAGGUGUCACACUUACCCAGUCCCCAUCCAAACCUGACUCAUGUAUUUACACCUGCCUACCUUUGGCACCCAGCCCCUGACAUGUGAAGUGACUAUGCCAAGUGUGUUCAUUCAUUGCCUCCUGCUUCAGACCAGGACACUCCUGAUGGUGGACAAUCCCCUUUCCAAUCAUGCUUUACUGUACACCCCCACCCACAGAUGCCUUUUCACUACUGUAACUGAGCCCUUGUUCAAACCCUGCAGCCCUAGGUCCCAAAGACUGAUCUACCAAGGCUCAGGACCUCAGCAAGGUCCACACUUGCUCCCCUCACUUGCCCUUCCUCCUUAUUUUCCAUGGACUGACUUAAUAGACUGACCAAAGCCAAUCUCAUUGAUCAGACAGCCCUGAGCAUAUGCACCCAGACUCCUCACUGAUGCCAAUACACCUUCCCUACCAUGUUUGUCCUAAUCCCUGGACUUGCUGCUAAGAGCCAACAGACAGGCUGUCAUCCACUCCCUGGAAUGAGCAACCUGAUUGAGUACACUCUUACCAGACAUUUUGGUUAAUCCCCUGGACUGGAAAAGGAAGAUAUCCUUGAUGCUCUCUGCUAGGUCCCCGACUAACAGGCCCUUCCAUUGACUCCUGUGAGCUCUGAUCCCUUACAACCUUGAGGCAUGGCUGCCUGCUUCCUGCACAUGCAUGUGUUUGCUACAUAAGUUGUUGGCGCUUAAUGAAGGUGUAAGAUAGAUUUUGCACAUUAUCAUUCCAAAUGCCCUCUAGACUGAGAACUGCUGAUCAGUAAGGCAAGCUUCCUGUUUAGUGAUUGUGCUAAUUGGCAAGGCAAGGCAAAGCAUGACACUGUGAAUGUACACGGAAAUGCUAAAUGAAUGAGAACUAAGAAAGCAUGUGCAUUGAAUUGCUACCUAGUCCAAACUGUAAGCUUGGCGCCUGUCCCUGUAUAGGAACUAACCCUGCUGCACCCUUUCAAUGCUAGUUUCUGGUGUGGCCUGCAAAACAAAUCUGUGCUUCUAGGGUGCACUGCCAUUG